rnacentral:rRNA from 1 species
GAUGAACGCUGGCGGCGUGCUUAACACAUGCAAGUCGAACGGAGAUGUUGCAGCAGAAGCGAAUAGCUUGCUAUGAGUGGAAACGGUGGCAUCUUAGUGGCGGACGGGUGAGUAACGCGUGGGCAACCUGCCCUGCACUGGGGGAUAACACUUAGAAAUAGGUGCUAAUACCGCAUAAUAAAAUAUAUUGCAUGAUAUAUUUUUGAAAGCUGCGGCGGUGCAGGAUGGGCCCGCGUCUGAUUAGCCAGUUGGCGGGGUAACGGCCCACCAAAGCGACGAUCAGUAGCCGGCCUGAGAGGGUGAACGGCCACAUUGGGACUGAGACACGGCCCAA